rnacentral:rRNA from 1 species
GACGAACGCUGGCGGCGUGCCUAAUACAUGCAAGUCGAGCGAAGUUUUUCUGGUGCUUGCACUAGAAAAACUUAGCGGCGAACGGGUGAGUAACACGUAAAGAACCUGCCUCAUAGACUGGGACAACUAUUGGAAACGAUAGCUAAUACCGGAUAACAGUAUUUCUCGCAUGAGAGAUAUUUAAAAGUUGGUUAUGCUAACACUAUGAGAUGGCUUUGCGGUGCAUUAGCUAGUUGGUGGGGUAAAGGCCCACCAAGGGGACGAUGCAUAGCCGACCUGAGAGAGUGAUGGGCCACACGGGGAGUGAGACAGGGCCCAGACGCCUACGGGAGGCAGCAGUAGGGAAUCUUCGGCAAUGGGCGAAAGCCUGACGGAGCAACGCCGCGUGAGUGAAGAAGGAUUUCGGUUCGUAAAGCUCUGUUGUUAGGGAAGAAUGGAUAUGUAGUAACUAUACAUGUAAGAGACGGUACCUAACCAGAAAGCCACGGCUAACUACGUG